rnacentral:rRNA from 1 species
GGACCUCAGAUCGGACGAGAUAACCCGCUGAAUUUAAGCAUAUUAAUCUCUAGAGG